rnacentral:rRNA from 1 species
AAAUAGAUACCAGGUAGUCCACGCCGUAAACGAUGAGUGCUAAGUGUUAGGGGGUUUCCGCCCCUUAGUGCUGCAGCUAACGCAUUAAGCACUCCGCCUGGGGAGUACGGUCGCAAGACUGAAACUCAAAGGAAUUGACGGGGGCCCGCACAAGCAGUGGAGCAUGUGGUUUAAUUCGAAGCAACGCGAAGAACCUUACCAGGUCUUGACAUCCCAUUGACCACUAUGGAGACAUAGUUUUCCCUUCGGGGACAACGGUGACAGGUGGUGCAUGGUUGUCGUCAGCUCGUGUCGUGAGAUGUUGGGUUAAGUCCCGCAACGAGCGCAACCCUUGUUCUUAGUUGCCAUCAUUUAGUUGGGCACUCUAAGGAGACUGCCGGUGACAAACCGGAGGAAGGUGGGGAUGACGUCAAAUCAUCAUGCCCCUUAUGACCUGGGCUACACACGUGCUACAAUGGACGGUACAAACGGUUGCCAACCCGCGAGGGGGAGCUAAUCCGAUAAAACCGUUCUCAGUUCGGAUUGUAGGCUGCAACUCG